rnacentral:lncRNA from 1 species
AAAUCAUCAAUACCCCACACCCUAACGUCGCUCGGCAUUCCCUCGGUCCCACUCCCACCUCCCACCAAAAUCAAUCGCGUGAUUUCCUCCGCCUUCAUCGCCGCCUCCUUCCCACUCCGCCACUCCCUCACAUCAGCUCCUGUGGCCGCUCCCGUCUUCGCCGCCGCCGCCCGCCGGUGCCUCCCUCCACCACCACCUGGGCCCCGCCUCCUUGCCAUUCACGAACAGGAGUUUCGGCAGCCCGCCUCCUCCACGGCCGUCCAGUCUGCCGCCCUCAACGCCGAUCACGCCGUCCAGUCCGCCCGCACCCUCCGCCGCCAUCUCCAAAAGCCCUGCCGCCGCCACGAGAUCCAGGCGAGCAUGAUGGAAGACGUGGAUGCGGCUCCAGUGGUUGAUUGGGUGGCAACGAGGAUGAACCGCAGCUGACUGCACCCAUGCACAACCGCAACCAACUAGCUAAAGGGAUGUUGGGGCUUUGGUCCUUGAGAUCAUGCAUAUUGCAAGAGAAACCUAAUCUGAGUUUCAAAAGUGGAUGGUGCAGCUGUUCCGUUUGAUUGCAAAAUGCCCGAAUAGCUUUGACUUUCAAGUGUUUGGGGUCAAGUCUGUAGUUUGCAAGGAGUGAACCUCAUUGUCCGUUCAUUGGGGAGACCUCCUCCUCCACCGCUGUCCAGUCCGCUGCCCCCAGUUCGCACGUUUGAGGGGGAACAUUGAUUUGUUCUUUAGAAAUUCAAUAAAUAGGCAUUUGUACAUGUGGCAUCCGAUGGUUAUAUGCUAUGGUCAUUUUUCAUUAAAUGUUGACUCAACUUUGUGGUAUGUUUUCAGUUUCAUUUAGCCAUUAAACUCUGGAGGAACUACAGAAUAAACUUGUAGAUGCAGAGGCCAGAAUGGAUUUGUAAGAGGCAAUGGAUUUUAGUAUUCAGUAAUCUUUGAUUUCAGGUAAAUUAAAGAUCAUUGCACAAUCAAGAAAUAUAUUUUGUGAAUGUUUGCAAU